UAGUAAAGAUAUGAUAGAUUUUUCAUUAUAUAAGUAUAAAAUAAAAUCAACUUAGUUUUCAAACUACAGCAACAGUUAGUGUUUAUCAAAUAUUUUAGUGCUGUAACUGUUAAGUUACAAUUAUCCAACUCCAAUCUCAAAUGGGGUGUGCAUUUUAUGUGUUGAUGUAGUCAGACAUCGUUCAUGUAGCUAGUUAUCUCAAAUUUGGGCUAAUUCCUGAUAGAGAGUGAUAUAAACAACGCUACUAUGUGUAUCUUUUUUUCCAGUAGUGUAUAUGUAAAUGAAAAAUAAAAUUUGGCCGUGCCUAUGAAAGUUGGGUUAAGUUUAGAAUCAGCAUCUAAUAAAACAAACUCAGUCAUAGGUAGUUUUAAUUAAGAGGAAAUAAAAAUGAACUAUUAUUCUGUAUAAACCAACCUUUUCGUUUCUUCAAUUCAUUGGGGAGGGCUCCCUCUCUGGUGGAUCUUUUGUUUUUACUUUGCCCUUUUUUUCCCUUCAUAUAUAUUUCGUAUAUGAAAAAGGAUAUCAUAUAUUUUGGAUUAUGAUGGUUACUUUUUAUCUAUCUGGAUAUAGAUCUAUAGAGUAGUUUUCUGAGUAUUGAUAUGAAUUCUUUUAAAAAUUUACAGUUUCUAAUAAGGCUUAGAUCUGGAAAAUUUGAAGGACCUAUAAAAUCGAUUUUAACAGAUAACCCAUCAUUGUAUAAAUUAAGACGAAGAGUUCUUUUGUACUAAAGCUCAAAUUUAUUAUGUAGACUUUAUCUUCUAUGCCUUCAAUUAAUGUUUUGUAAAUCGAUCGUAGACAUGUCUAUGAUGUGUUAUAUGCAAUGUUCUUCAUGUUGAUGAUGAUAAUGAUUUUCUUAUUUUGAGCAUCUUGAAUUUCAUCCCCAAGUAUUCUUUGUGUCUUAUCAUUAAUAAGCAUGUUUGAUGAGCAACCUAACAAAUUGAGCAACUAGGGCCAUAUCUGAUUUUGAUAUAUACCACCAAGAUUAUAGCAUACCUAACAAAGUUGCAGUUUCCAUGUCAUUCCAAUUAAUAUUUACAAUUAAAAUUCAUCUUCAAAUUGGGGCCUGCAAUCUGAUAGACACACACAACCUUCUCUGCAAUAAAUAACCAAUUAAACAUGGCUAGAACUGGUUCCUGUUCAAGCACAUGCCUUCAAAUGGUGGAUUACAACCGAAAAGAAUAUAAAUAAAAUAAUUUAAUAAGUUCUAAAAUGGAAAAAAAAUUAAUAAAAAAAAGACACACACAAGACACAACACAAAUUUCAAAAAAUUUCAUCUAUGCGCAACGAAAAGGAAAAAAAUUAACCAAUGGUGUCAGAUUAAGACAUCAAAAGAUGGGCAAGCUGCUGCCUUAUAAGCUGUCAGUCAGCCAUGGCUAGGGUUGGCAAACCCGGCCCCGGUCCGGAUGUAAUUAGAUGUUCGGGUCGGGUUUUUCAAGUUAAUUCGAGUAUUCGGAUUUUAUAUUUUUUUAU
rnacentral:lncRNA from 1 species